rnacentral:rRNA from 1 species
UACGUAGGUGGCAAGCGUUGUCCGGAUUUAUUGGGUUUAAAGGGUGCGUAGGCGGCUUUGUAAGUCAGUGGUGAAAUAUGGCAGCUCAACUGUCAAGGUGCCAUUGAUACUGCGGAGCUUGAGUACAGAUGAGGUAGGCGGAAUUGACGGUGUAGCGGUGAAAUGCUUAGAUAUCGUCAAGGACACCGAUAGCGAAGGCAGCUUACUAGGCUGUAACUGACGCUGAGGCACGAAAGUGUGGGGAUCGAACAGG